AUUUGUAGUUAGUGGCGAACGGGUGAGUAACACGUGGGUAACCUGCCCAUCAGAAGGGGAUAACGACGGGAAACUGUCGCUAAUACCGCAUACGUCCUUCGGGAGAAAGGCUUCGGCCGCUCAAGGAUGGUCCCGCGUCCGAUUAGCUAGUUGGUGAGGUAACGGCUCACCAAGGCGACGAUCGGUAGCUGGUCUGAGAGGAUGAUCAGCCACACUGGGACUGAGACACGGCCCAGACUCC
rnacentral:rRNA from 1 species